GACGAACGCUGGCGGCGCGCUUAACACAUGCAAGUCGAACGGAAAGGCCUGCUUUCCCUUGUGGAUUGCGGGUACUCGAGUGGCGAACGGGUGAGUAACACGUGAGUGAUCUGCCCCCAACUUGGGUAUAAGCCUGGGAAACUGGGUCUAAUUCCCGAUAGGACUGCAGGGUGGUGCCUGUGGUGGAAAACGAUUUUCUAGUGGUUGGGGAUGAGCUCGCGGCCUAUCAGCUUGUUGGUGGGGUAAUGGCCUACCAAGGCGGCGACGGGUAGCCGGCCUGAGAGGGUGGACGGCCACAUUGGGACUGAGAUACGGCCCAGACUCCUACGGGAGGCAGCAGUGGGGAAUAUUGCACAAUGGGCGGAAGCCUGAUGCAGCGACGCCGCGUGGGGGAUGACGGCCUUCGGGUUGUAAACUCCUUUCGACCGCGAGGAAGCCACCUGGUUGGAAGGGUGGUGACGGUAGUGGUAGAAGAAGCACCGGCUAACUACGUA
rnacentral:rRNA from 1 species